AUAAAUACUGUCUAUGACACACAAUAAAGUUAAUAUAGGAAUAGUUUGCUUUGUAUUGCACAGUUCCAUAAAAGGAGCUGAAUGUUAACAGAGCUAACUUUUCAUCAUCACAACACAAGCUGUCAACUACAAUUUGCAUCUCAAUGUCCUUAACACUAUUGCAAAUGAUCAGGAUUGUUAAUAUUUUAAGUUCAUUUAGGAAUUGCAGUGAUUUUUACAUUUCACUCCAUGCCGUCAGAUGUGAACACCUGUCUGUCUGUUUGUCUGAUAUUUUCGUAGAUGGCAGGUGCCGAGAGUUGCCGGCCCGACUGGUUGUCUUCUUCCUUCUCCUGGCCAUCCCCCCGAUUAUUGGAACCAUCUUUUACAUAAGGAGGAGGAAACAUGCCCAGACAGACCAAAUGCCCUCUGGACCCUCUUUGGAUUAUGGCAAUAUAGAGAUGUUGGACAGAAACUCCAUUCCUAAUUUCUCAGUCACCCAACAAAAUACAUGCAAUGACUUGUAACAUCGAUAUGUAUAUAAGGGAAAUAAUAAUUCAGUUACAGUUACUGCAUAUCUUAAAUGUUGCCCUGCCAUUUUUUACUGUUCUGCACAGUAUACAUACUGCUAUGAUGAAACAAUAUUCUGGGCAUUUCUCAUUAUUAAUGCUUUGCUUAAUGCUGGCCCUAGUUGAAAUAAAAACUGAUUCACAAAAUCCUGAA